UACGAGGGGGGCAAGCGUUGUUCGGAAUUAUUGGGCGUAAAGGGUGCGUAGGCGGUGCGGUAAGUCUGUUGUGAAAUCUCCGGGCUCAACUCGGAGUCUGCAUCAGAAACUGCCGUGCUGGAGUGUGGGAGAGGUGAGUGGAAUUCCCGGUGUAGCGGUGAAAUGCGUAGAGAUCGGGAGGAACACCUGCGGCGAAAGCGGCUCACUGGACCAUAACUGACGCUGAUGCACGAAAACUAGGGGAGCAAACAGG
rnacentral:rRNA from 1 species